UGGAUCAACGAGGACUACUGGUGGCGUCUGAGACGUACGCAAUGACUACGUGUCCAGCUCUGAGGUCCAA